GAUGAACGCUGGCGGCGUGCCUAAUACAUGCAAGUCGAGCGAGCAGACGAGGAGCUUGCUCCUCUGACGUUAGCGGCGGACGGGUGAGUAACACGUGGAUAUCCUACCUAUAAGACUGGGAUAACUUCGGGAAACCGGAGCUAAUACCGGAUAAUAUAUUGAACCGCAUGGUUCAAUAGUGAAAGACGGUUUUGCUGUCACUUAUAGAUGGAUCCGCGCCGCAUUAGCUAGUUGGUAAGGUAACGGCUUACCAAGGCAACGAUGCGUAGCCGACCUGAGAGGGUGAUCGGCCACACUGGAACUGAGACACGGUCCAGACUCCUACGGGAGGCAGCAGUAGGGAAUCUUCCGCAAUGGGCGAAAGCCUGACGGAGCAACGCCGCGUGAGUGAUGAAGGUCUUCGGAUCGUAAAACUCUGUUAUUAGGGAAGAACAAAUGUGUAAGUAACUAUGCACGUCUUGACGGUACCUAAUCAGAAAGCCACGGCUAACUACGUG
rnacentral:rRNA from 1 species